rnacentral:lncRNA from 1 species
CUGAGCUUAUCAUUAUCCUUGAUCUGAUUCAGUAACAAAGGUUUGUAAAACUUGCCAGUUAUACAUAUGUUGGGUACUUACUGAAUGCAGCAUAAUUCACUAAAAUAAGCAACUAGUAGUUUCUUGUGACCAUUGAACAAUUCAAGUGACUUGAAAAAUACCGAUUUUCCACCAACUGCCAGAUUGCUUAGGAUUUCACCAUGAAGAUUUGGCUUGAAUACAGAUGAGUGGAUAAAUCUAGAAACACAUUUAUGAAUGGAAAACAGAAGGAUUAUGAUUGUGAAGCGAGGAGAAGGCUCAUCACCUUGCUCCAGUGCCUGGCUAGGCUGUGUUACGCGUGCUGUCCACGAUGCAACUGGAGCGGGCAGUGCCUCUCUCCCAAGCAUCCUCACCCCCAGAGCUCUGUGUUCCGCAAUGAUGGGCCCUCUCUUUGUUCUCCACCUUCAAAGUGAUUCACUCAGCUAUAUCCUAAAAGUACAAAGUCACCCAGCUCUGUCUAAAAAUGCUUGAGGCUUGAACCGCCUGUUGGAAUGCUCACUUUAUUUGUGAGAGAUCACGUUUAUUGAGCAUUCUCCUGUGCCAUUAUAAACCAACCAAGGAAUCAAGAAACCAUCCGUGAGUGAGGGUCAGAGCCUUGUCAGGAGCCGUUUCUGGAAGAUGUGAGGGUGGCAACGUUGCAUUUGCCAAUGAUAGUUUCUGUUCAGAUGGCAACUUUGCCUCAGUAUAAUCCCAAAUGACAUGUCCAAUUUCCCUUUCUCAACUCUUGAGUUUUUCCAGGGAGAAAAUGUGGUUUUGCCCUUCUUUUAGAAAAUUGAUGUUUCUGUGCUUUUGCUUUGCUAGUGCAUCUGAAAACAUAUGGACACUUCUGGCUAAAAAAAGAAAAGAAAGUCUUUUCUGAUUCAUUUGGCUGAAACAUGAAUUUUCCAAAUUCAGUAAAAAACCCUUUUAUGAGACACUUUCAUCUACCAUAGAUUCCAUUAGACCACGGAGCAGAUCUUCUCCCGGGACACACAGUCAUGCUGUCAUCACAAUUCCCAGUGUUCCGGAAUGCUAGACACUUCCUGACCUUUACGUCUGAUACAUUCUUUGAGAGAACUUCUCCACCGACCCCGUCACCUGGAUUGGAUCACCGACCUCUCCCAAGAGGGGCCUGGCUUCCUCCUCGCUGGGGAAACGGUAGGGAGCUCCCCUAGGUAAAGCCUCUAGGGAGAGUGGCCAGGAGCCGGGUCAGGAAAGGCUCUGGUGCCCAAAGGGCUGCCCGCAGAGGCUGAGGUCCCUGCAAGUGCACAGGGAGGAGAGGUGAGAUCAGAUUCCAGCCGAGUCAGGCUUCCAUGUCAGACUGCGUGUGUUUAUGCAGAGGUGCAACUCAGGAAUUACUGAGGAGAAAGUACAGGGCCAAUUUAACCUCCUCUGAGAGACCUCUAACCCUGCUCAUCACCACUCCUCGCUAAAAAGGGCCCUCUCCAGGGAAGAACCCAGAGGGAGAGCGGGAAUUCUCCUCCCCUUGGAGGAAGAGUGCUUCCUCUACCCUUAAUGUAUCAACUGACAACAAUUCAAACAGAAGGAAACUAGGAUGUGACAAAUAAAGGAAGCCUUUUCAUGCUCUAUGUCCACUGGCGUCGGGCAAGCCCCGGUGGAAGUCCAAGGAAAAGAGUCUAAGACCCAAACAGAUGGUUUGCGCCAAAGUUCUGAAGUGUAUCAGACGUGAAUAAAGGUAUGUUAAUUCUAAAAGGAACUAAAAUAGAAACAUGAUGUGGUUUAGACUCAGGUAUUAAAAAAUGAGCCAUCUCAGAAGUGGAGACCAACUGAAUAUCUUCCUGUAUAACUUCUUCUAUAACUCUUCCAUGCCUCUAUGUUUGGUUGACUUUCACCAGUUUUCCCAGUCUCCAAUGAACCUGAUUCUAUAGGCAGUUACUCUGUGUUCUUUUUGAUGGGAUUCUAAGAAGUGAAGAACAGCAUAGGAACCAAUUUGCUGUGUAAAAUCAGAGAGAGCUCGACUCACUGUGGGUCAGAAACAAAGGGAGACUCUCCAUUGAAAACAGGCUCCCUGAAAGCAGACAUCAGCUAUAAACUGGUUAGGAAUUUAUUAUGAAUUUCCUUUGCAUUCUGAAGCAGAAGGCUUAAAAUUAGGCUCUAAGUCGGAACCCACAGUACCAUUUCCCACAGUAUGACAAGUUUAUAUGGGCAACACAUAUACUUUAGAGUAAUUUGAUCGUCCCAGGCACUAUCUGGAGUGCUUUACACAUGUAGCUGCUUAGUCGUGGCCCCUCAUGGCCUGGCCCUCUGGGUUGGAAUGAUGAGUUGCCAGAGGGUGAAGUCACUUUUGGAUCAUCACGAACACUGAGAGUCGAAAGACAAUGCCAGAGGGUGACGUCACUUCCGGUUCAUCACGAACACAUGGAGAGUCGGAAGAUGACCCUGGGCUUGUCUUCACAUUUUCCGUGUUGUCACUUGCCGGUCCUUUGGAAGCCGACCCUAGAUGUACACUGUCUUGCCGGGACCUUUCUCUUCUCUUCCCCUGUGACCACGCAGGUCUUCGAUUCCCUGCCCCCUGCCCGAGGACCUGCCUCCUCCCUGCCCGAGGACCAAGCUUCAGAAGAACUGCACAUGGGAGGAAAUACCAACCGCUUAACUUCUUCAGAGACAACCUCUAACCCGGCUCACCACCACGCUAGCUAAAAAAGGGCCCUCUCCCAGGGAAGAUCCCGGAGGAAGAGUGGGAAUUCACCCUCCCCUUGGGGGAGGAGUGCUUUCUCUACCCUUAAUUUAUGAACUGAGAAAAAUCCUAACAAGCCUACUAUGAAAUAAAGAUGCCCUUAACCCAUUUAUGCCUAGUGUUCCAUUAUUGGAACGCUAAGCUUGUGGGAGUUAUUUAUAUCCUACUGCUCAAAACCAUUGCCAAGGUCUGAUUUUUCACACAAAAAAAUUUGCAACCUUCGGUAUAAAUGGGUUAAUUCCAAAGCCUAAAGCAACCUAAGACAUCUCAGUCCACAGUGAGCCCAGCCUCCAGCUGCAGGUGUUGGCUUCCACACAGCGCAGGACCAAGCAGUUUUGUGCUGAGUCCAUCUCUGUGGCCACCGGCCACCCGGUGCUGGGGCUGGUCCCCAGCUCAUCUGCACAGGGUUGGUGGAAGGGGCCAGAGGCAGCCUGGGCUCUGAAUUCCACCCAGACCUGGGGAAUAGGCCUGGUAGGGGAGUGAAUGCCAGGGCCGCUGGUGGCCUUGGCUCUUCUGCACGGCAGCAACUGUGGUGGCCUGAGAAUAAGGAGUUACCAUAAGGACGUAGAGGUAGAUCACCAGAGCCGCAUCCACACCCAGAGAUAGACUCACACAUCUGUGGUGUGUUCAUUUCAACAAAGGUGCAGAGAAAAUUCCAUGGAGGAAAAACAAUAGCCUAUCAACAAAUGGUGUUAGAACGAUUGGAUAUCUCACGCAAAAAAUUAACUUUUAUCUGUAUCUCAUGUUAUGUAAAAAUGGAACCAAAAUAGAUUAUAAACAUAAUGUAGAAUAUAAAAGAAAUUAUGGUAAAAAUCAUAGGAAAAAAAUCUGUGCGACCUUAGUUAGGCAAAGAUAUUUUAAAUUUGACAGCAAAAGUACAAUCCAUAAAAGAAAAGAAACUGAUAAAUUGGACAUACUCAAAGUGAAGCACAUAUGCUAGUCAGAAGACACUACUGUUAAGAGAAUAAAAAAUAUAAGCCACAGAUCUGGAGAAAACAUUUGCAAACCAUAUAUCUGAAAAAAAUGGCUUGUACUUCACAUCUAAAAAGACUCAAAAGUCAAUAAUAGGAAAGAAGAGACAAUUUAAAAUGGGCAAAAUAGUUAAAAAGACAGAUCAGCCAAGAAGAUAUAUGGAUGAAAAUUAAACACAUUAAAUACAUCCGAUGUCAAUAACCCUGCUCCCUACCGGUUAGACAGCUGAUGUCAGAAAGGCCGACCCCAUCGCGCGUGCGCGAGCACAAGUGGGCAGGAACAGGAAAUGCCACGAGGACGCUGAAUCAAACCUGCCUACGUGAAGGGCUGAAGACGCGACAUUUCCUGACAGAGGUUGCUAUGUCUAGCAGCAUGAGCCUCUCCAUGAAGGCAUGAGGGGAGAAGACCUCUUCUCUACCUUGUCCCAGGUCUUCCAGGAUUGGUGUCUCCUUUGAGAAGCAGGACUGCUUUUAUAAGUCUUAGGUCUAGUGGAAGCUGCUUCGGAGCCAUGGAGAAAAGGCAGCCUGCGCUGAUUGACCAUGAGCCUAAGUACACUGCAUGAACCUUUGGAAGUACCUCUUCUAUGUCUGCCUGAAGAGAUUCCACUGGCCCUUUAAGCAAGAAACGACUUCACAGUUGAAACCUUGGUUUGGAAGACUCUUGUUUCAAAUCUCGGCAGCAUCCAAUGAGCCCUCCUCAUCAGCUGAUGGUGGUAAGCACCUAGGACUUGGGCCAGUAGAACGAAGGAAAGAAACACAACCAUUUAGUAAAAAGAAGUAGCUGCAUAUCAAGAAUUGGUCUUCCCAAAGCCUAGGCUUUCAGGAGAACUUGGAAGUUUUCAGACAAAAAAGAACGGUGUUUGUAAACCAGAGUCUUUGAAAUCGGUGUGUAUGUUACACCUACAACACAUCCCACACUGGAGGAGCCACCCUCCCAGGGCGAGACAGCAACACAGGCCUCCUGGCCACCCACACAGAGAAUAGAUACAUGAACUUCGGUACAUUGAUGCGGCAGAAUAAGACGGUGUACAGCAGUGACACCAAAGGAACCAUGGCUACAGGUAGCAGCAGCUGAACCUCACAAGUAAAACCGAGAGACUGCAAAGGACUGUAGACUGCAUGAUGUUACAUGUCUGUAACAUUCAAAAGGAAGGCAACACCGUUGUACUUAGUGAUGUUGAGCUAAGCCUCUGCAGAAAGGCGAAGCUGUGAUUGCACUGCAGCCCGUAGCAUAGUGAACUUUGCAACGCAGGGAAGGGCAUACAAAGCGCAGGCCUUUGGGAGUUCUGGCCGUUCUGUGUACUGACCUGGGUGUGGUCACAUUUCUU